rnacentral:tRNA from 1 species
GCAACGAUAGCUUAAGUCAAAGCAUUGGUCUUGUAAAUCAAAGAUGAAUAUGUAUUCUCGUUGCU